UUUGUGAGAACAAGAAAGAAGAGAACUCUUGGCUCUUCUUUGAGCUUUGAUUGCUUCUGCUUCUAGCUUUGAGAGAGAAGAUGGAAGAUGCCACCCACUUCAGGUUGCUGAAGGAAAAAAUUCUGGGAGGACAUGAGAGGAAACGAUAGUCCCCAUCAUGUCCCUAUUCACAGCUUGCUGAACUAGAGGCCUAAGGAACAUCCAUUUGGGAAUUAGAAUCUUCCUUGGAAAAUAAUGGGGGCAGAAGAAGCUAGAGAUAUCUAUUUUGUCUUCCUUUGAGCCCCGUAACAACACCCCCAGGCUACAUGUAUUCUUUUGGAUUUAAUUUCACAGUGAUUUGGUGUUCAAAGUCUAAAAAGGUACCAGGAAUCCUGGUCCCCAGUGGAUUUGGGGGUUGAGAAGUCUUAUAUUUGGUAGAAAAUUUCCCUCUCUUGGGAAGAAGCCUAACAGAAUGGGAAGGUACUAAGAUCACUUUAAUCUAGAUAUUUUCAAGCAGAGAUUGGAUGACAAAUUAUCAGAGAUUUUAUAGAAGAGAUUCCUGAUCAGGAAAGGGUAAGUGAUGAAUCUCUUUGAACUUUUAGUAUCUCUGUUUCUAU
rnacentral:lncRNA from 1 species